rnacentral:rRNA from 1 species
UGAUAUUUGCCACUGGAACCGAAUCGGCCCAAUUUCUACGGAGCAGCAGUGGAAUUUCGACCAUGGGCAACUGAUCCCAGUCAUGCGCUUGAAGAAAGAAGUCUCGGGUUGUAAGCUCUUUCGGCCGGGAAAAAAAUCGCCCUCUCCUAAUACGGGGGGUGGAUGAUGGUACCGGACUAAGAAGCACGGCUAACUACGUGCCAGCAGCGCGGUAAUACGUAGGGUGCGAGGCGUUAAUCGGAAUUACUGGGCGUAAAGCGUGCGCAGGCGGUUUUUUAAGACAGGCGUGAAAUCCCCGGGCUUAACCUGGGAACUGCGCUUGUGACUGGAAGGCUAGAGUACGGCAGAGGGGGGUGGAAUUUCCACGUGUAGCAGUGAAAUGCGUAGAGAUGUGGAGGAACACCGAUGGCGAAGGCAGCCCCCUGGGCCGAUACUGACGCUCAUGCACGAAAGCGUGGGGAGCAAACAGGAUUAGAUACCCUGGUAGUCCACGCCCUAAACGAUGUCAACUAGGUGUUGGGUGGGUAAAACCAUUUAGUACCGGAGCUAACGCGUGAAGUUGACCGCCUGGGGAGUACGGCCGCAAGGUUAAAACUCAAAGGAAUUGACGGGGACCCGCACAAGCGGUGGAUGAUGUGGAUUAAUUCGAUGCAACGCGAAAAACCUUACCUACCC